CCUACGGGAGGCAGCAGUGAGGAAUAUUGGUCAAUGGACGAGAGUCUGAUCCAGCCAAGUAGCGUGAAGGAUGACUGCCCUAUGGGUUGUAAACUUCUUUUAUAUGGGAAUAAAAUGUUCCACGUGUGGGAUUUUGUAUGUACCAUAUGAAUAAGGAUCGGCUAACUCCGUGCCAGCAGCCGCGGUAAUACGGAGGAUCCGAGCGUUAUCCGGAUUUAGUGGGUUUAAAGGGAGCGUAGGUGGAUUGGUAAGUCAGUUGUGAAAGUUGGCGGCUCAACCGUAAAAUUGCAGUUGAAACUGGCAGUCUUGAGUACAGUAGAGGUGGGCGGAAUUCGUGGUGUAGCGGUGAAAUGCGUAGAUAUCACGAAGAACUCCGAUGGCGAAGGCAGCUCACUGGACUGCAACUGACACUGAGGCUCGAAAGUGUGGGUAUCAAACAGGAUUAGAUACCCCAGUAGUC
rnacentral:rRNA from 1 species